GCCGCGUGAGUGAUGAAGGUUUUCGGAUCGUAAACUCUGUUGUUAGGGAAGAACAAGUACCGUUCGAAUAGGGCGGUACCUUGACGGUACCUAACCAGAAAGCCACGGCUAGCUACGUGCCAGCAGCCGCGGUAAUACGUAGGUGGCAAGCGUUGUCCGGAAUUAUUGGGCGUAAAGCGCGCGCAGGCGGUUUCUUAAGUCUGAUGUGAAAGCCCACGGCUCAACCGUGGAGGGUCAUUGGAAACUGGGGAACUUGAGUGCAAAAGAGGAGAGUGGAAUUCCACGUGUAGCGGUGAAAUGCGUAGAGAUGUGGAGGAACACCAGUGGCGAAGGCGACUCUCUGGUCUGUAACUGACGCUGAGGCGCGAAAGCGUGGGGAGCGAACAGGAUUAGAUACCCUGGUAGUCCACGCCGUAAACGAUGAGUGCUAAGUGUUAGAGGGUUUCCGCCCUUUAGUGCUGCAGCAAACGCAUUAAGCACUCCGCCUGGGGAGUACGGUCGCAAGACUGAAACUCAAAGGAAUUGACGGGGGCCCGCACAAGCGGUGGAGCAUGUGGUUUAAUUCGAAGCAACGCGAAGAACCUUACCAGGUCUUGACAUCCCGCUGCCCGGUAUAGAGAUAUACCUUUCCCUUCGGGGACAGCGGUGACAGGUGGUGCAUGGUUGUCGUCAGCUCGUGUCGUGAGAUGUUGGGUUAAGUCCCGCAACGAGCGCAACCCUUG
rnacentral:rRNA from 1 species